UCUUGUUUCACUGUUAUUACUUUUGGAAAGAGGAAGCGUUGUCUGUGUUUUUUGUGGUGCUAUAAAAUCAAAUUCAUAUUGCCCUGAGCCCCUACUACAGGCUACAAGGCGAAGUGGAGGUGCAGCUGGGGACACUGAAGAGCACUAGCUAUGGAUAGGAGCGGUUGAAAAAGCAACUGGAAACCACAGUGGAAUUGCUAACACAAGGUGGCUUGGCAUCAGUUACCUGGUGAAUGCUUGAGACCCGGAACAGGCCUUCUGAGGUCAGUGCGAGCAAGGAGGAGAGAGGCGCUGGGGCUCUGAGGAUGGGAGAACAUAGGUGACAAAGAGGAGAACUGAGACAUUCCACGGAAAAGAGUGGCAGUGGCAGAGUAGAUAGAGCCCCACCCAGCAGUCAGGGGACCUGGCUUUGCAUCUCCUCUCCAUAUCUCUCCUCCAGCUUCCUGUGUGGCACGGGGCAAGCAACAUAACCUUUCUGAAUUUUCAUUUCCUCAACGGUAAAUGGGGCAUUUAAUGACUCAUCCAUUCAAGGAAUGUUUGUUGAGCACCUGCUGCGUAGCAGACGCCAGAAGUACGGCAGUGAGCAGCAGAGAUAGGAUUUACGCCUUCAAAGGGUUAGUCUUCCGGUGGAAAAUCACAGGUCGUCAGGAACCAACAAUAUUGGGAAUUGAGUUCUAUGACAAGGAAGUGUUAGGGGCCAUGGCAAUACCAAGGAGUAGAGGCUUCCCAGAAGAGGAACUGAGAGUGAAAGUGACUUCAACAGCAAUAAUUCAGAAUACACUCCAUGCUUCAGUAAUGCAGAUCUGAAGGAAGCGGGAACUCAGACCGACCGACUGAUUUGAGGCUGUGUGGUUCAGUCCAAAAUUUAGCCGUGCAUGGAAUUUCAUUAAACAUGGAGCGCAUGGUUUUGAUACAAUCCCCACUUUGUCCUCCACCCACACCACUGCUUUCUAAAUGACUUUGGUUGAGCGCAAUCUAUUAAUCCUUCAACGAUGAGAAAGAAAAGCAAUGGAAAAUCUGGCAAAAUGAAUUGUAUAUGAGUCAAUGCUUGGACUCCUGGAAGUGGAAGACGUGCAGAAAGAAAAAACCCGUCUUUCAGCAAAUUGAGAGCAUUGAUUGAGCUCUGCAAGGAAGAAUUUCUUUUUAAUUUUUCUUUUUUGAUAGAUGUCGGAGAUAUUGAAGUAAAGACAAUAAAU
rnacentral:lncRNA from 1 species